rnacentral:rRNA from 1 species
UACGGAGGGAGCUAGCGUUGUUCGGAAUUACUGGGCGUAAAGCGCACGUAGGCGGCUUUGUAAGUUAGGGGUGAAAGCCCGGGGCUCAACCCCGGAAUUGCCUUUAAGACUGCAUCGCUUGAAUCCAGGAGAGGUGAGUGGAAUUCCGAGUGUAGAGGUGAAAUUCGUAGAUAUUCGGAAGAACACCAGUGGCGAAGGCGGCGCACUGGACUGGUAUUGACGCUGAGGUGCGAAAGCGUGGGGAGCAAACAGG